GACGAACGCUGGCGGCGUGCUUAACACAUGCAAGUCGAACGGAAAGGCCUGCUUUCCCUUGUGGAUUGCGGGUACUCGAGUGGCGAACGGGUGAGUAACACGUGAGUGAUCUGCCCCCAACUUGGGUAUAAGCCUGGGAAACUGGGUCUAAUUCCCGAUAGGACUGCAGGGUGGUGCCUGUGGUGGAAAACGAUUUUCUAGUGGUUGGGGAUGAGCUCGCGGCCUAUCAGCUUGUUGGUGGGGUAAUGGCCUACCAAGGCGGCGACGGGUAGCCGGUCUGAGGGGGUGGGCGGCCACAGUGGGACUGAGAAACGGCGCAGACGCCUACGAGAGGCGGCAGGGGGGAAGAGUACACAAUGGGCGGAAGCCUGAUGCAGCGACGCCGGGUGGGGGAUGACGGCCUUCGGGUUGUAAACUCCUUUCGACCGCGAGGAAGCCACCUGGUUGGAAGGGUGGUGACGGUAGUGGUAGAAGAAGCACCGGCUAACUACGUG
rnacentral:rRNA from 1 species